rnacentral:lncRNA from 1 species
CUUUCUCACAGGCAGAAGAUCGGCUUUGGAUUGCAGCACGUCAAAAUGAAAAUUAAUCCUUUCCCUUGAAAAAAAGGAAGUGCCAGUAGGACUCAGUCUGCCUCUUUCCUUGUUUGGACGUGACAGUGAUGGACCAGAUUUUACUGGGAGCAUGAACCUGACCUUCAGCUUGUGCCAAAGGUGCAACAGAAGAAUGCCUUUCAGCAACAUGGAAUGAAGAGGCCAAAGGUCACUCCAUAGAAUUUC